UGCAUUCACUACUGUAAGUUACUCUGGAUAAGAGCGUCUGCUAAAAUGACUAAAA
rfam:Salmo salar isolate Sally breed double haploid chromosome ssa13, whole genome shotgun sequence.